rnacentral:rRNA from 1 species
AACGAACGUUGGCGGCAUGGAUUAGGCAUGCAAGUCGAGCGAAUCUCACUGCUGUAGCAAUACAGUGGUGGGGGAAGCGGCGAAAGGGGCAGUAAUGCGUGGGUAACGUACCCUGGGGACGUGGAUAGCCAUUCUAACGAGUGGGUAAUACACGGCGAUUUGGCGAGGUGGCAUCACCUUGCCAGGAAAUGAAUUUCGCCUCGGGAGCGGCUCACGUGGUAUUAGCUAGUUGGUGAGGUAACGGCUCACCAAGGCGAAGAUGCCUAGCGGGUGUGAGAGCACGACCCGCGCCACUGGCACUGAGACACUGGCCAGACACCUACGGGUGGCUGCAGUCGAGAAUCUUUGGCAAUGGGCGAAAGCCUGACCAAGCGAUGCCGCGUGGAGGACGAAGGCCUUCGGGUUGUAAACUCCUGUCGAGGGGGAUCAAGGGGCAACCUUGAGUGAUCCCUGGAGGAAGCUCGGGCUAAGUUCGUGCCAGCCGCCGCAGU